UCCCCAAAGGGGCAGUCCGGCCAGACACAGGUAACUGACCGUAGGGGUUGCGCUCGUUGCGGGACUUAACCAAACACCUCACGGCACGGGCUGACGACAGCCAUGCAGCACCUAUAUAGAGACCCUUUCGAGAAAUAUCAUCUCUGAUAUCGUCCUCUACAUUUCGAGCCCAGGUAAGGUUCUUCGCGUUGCAUCAAAUUAAACCACAUGCUCCACUGCUUGUGCGGGCCCCCGUCAAUUCUUUUGAGUUUCACCCUUGCGAGCGUACUCCCCAGGCGGUAUACUUAAUGCGUUAGCUCCGAUACAGAGAGGGUUGAGCCUCCCUACAUCUAGUAUACAUCGUUUAAGGCUAGGACUAC
rnacentral:misc_RNA from 1 species